GCAGAGAAGACUCUCACUCAAAGAGCAGUAUUGCUUCUUUGAAUGAGUCACCCUUGCCACAGACAGCCAAUCCUUUGAAAGUGUAUCCUACAGAGCACAGGACCCCAGAAAAGGUUGUCCAGUUGUCCUUCCCAGAAUAUGUGUUGCAUACUGACUCUGAACUUGAACAAGUCCGAAAACAAUACUUUGAGUAGGCAAAAAAAGGUGAGGAGAGGAACUUUGAAAUGUCAAAGGAUCUUAGAUGCCGACUCAUCCGGAACACCAUGACGAGUAUGAUCGCAAUCCUGAGGGCAAAAGGUGAUGGAGAAUCAGAGAGAUACCCAUCAAAACCAGAGGUUACAGCUAUGGCCAAGAGAAUAGUACAGUACUACCCCAUGCUCCAGGACAAAGGAAGCAAGAAGACUUCAUGGGUCACAGUGUAUGCACAGCUAUACAAAAGACUGCAAAAUGUGAGGUCUCCUCUCAAGACCAGUCCACGUUGGAGCCAGCCAAAGAAGCGCUGUGUGCUAAGUGACCCAGAUGAUUCAAGUGACUCAACUAUUAUUUUAGAUAGUUCCUCAGAAGGAUGUAGCACAUCAUCCUCAGGCAGCAAAAAAAGAGAAACUGACAGUCCAGACACUGACAACCAAGCAACCAUGGCCACCUGUAGUUCCCCACAGGCUUUCUCUACCAAGCCUUCAGAAGUCAGUUCUCCAUCCAGUGACAGCCCAGCAACCAUGGUCAAGCACUACAAGACCCUACAGGCUUUGUAUAAGAAAAAAACGCCAAACCAUGAGUCUGUCUCUCAGCUCCUGGACUUGGAAUUUCCAGCCAGACGAGCAUUCAUUAAUUCUGAUUCUCUUGGUGAGGAGAACAGACCUGAGAAGAUUCUGGAGGCGUACCCUUGUUUUAAAGACAUUGGACAUGUGAUGGAGGAGCUUCGGCGCAUCUUGGACAAGGAUAAUAGUCACUACAUUGACCAGGUGAAGGGAAGAUGGCAUGACUUCUCCCAGAAAGUGCAGUUUUUUGGUCUGUGGAAAAAGAUGGUGAAACCCCUGUCAAGUGGAAUGCAGAUGUUGAGGUCUCAGAGAGGACUCAGGCUCAUUAUGGCCCUAAGGUAACAAAGGUUCUGAAGCAGACAAAUAAAGAUCUUAAGAAGAAACAUUAUAAGAUAACCAUAUGAUUAUGCUUGCUAAAAUACAUAUAUAUUUUUUGAAGUGUUGAUUUGAUUGAAGUAAUGAUACAGAUGAUUUAUUAUGUUCAGAUUGAGAAGAAUGAUUUAAGAAGUGGUUCUGUGUGAAGUAAUCCUUGUUUAGGCUCUGUGUGUGCGUACAGGCCUCAUAAGCUUGUGUGUCCAGGCCUUAAGAAAGCAGAAGUACAGUAAACAACAGUCACCAUGACUCGGCAGCCACAAUGACAUUGCAGCCUCCUCAGAAAAAAAGGGAAGUUUGGGAAAAACCCAAAAGGGUGGGCUGAAAUGUGUGUGUGUUAAACAGAAUGUGGACACUGUGUAUUUGCUGUAACAACAUGACUUCUGUAUUACUGUUGUAUGUGAUGACAAAGUUGAUUGCAUAAGUUAGACGGUGUCAGAGGGCGUACCUAGCCAGUUUUGUGUGUCUAGAGAAAGUAUAAGAAUAGGAGAGCAGAGACAUUAUUUGGGAGUCGUUCGCCGGAGCUGCUAAGAAGAAGCUGCAAAGGGAACUUGGCCGGAGUUCUGAAGAAUCUUCACCUUCCUCUUUUGCCCAAGAGACGGGAAGACGACGCGGGACUUAGGCUCCAGAGAUCGCUGAGGACAUCGUUGGAAGCAAAGUCUUUUUCUGACUUUGUUCAACAAGCGAAGACCACACUCUGCCAAACGGAGAGUCCGAAGAGGUUCUGCAGUUAUCUAGAAGAAACCAAUAGAGGGAAGAACCGACUACACCCGAAGAGGCAAAGGAGGCAACAGCACUGGGCUGUUCCCCUCCCCGGGGCUGGGAGACCCAGUGACCCACUACAGCCUGAACAGACGAGGGUUUUCCAUCACCACCAUACCACAGAGAAGACAGCUGAGGCGUAAGCACUAACGUUCCAGCCAAUUCCAGAGGUAACUGCCAGACCACGAUUGGCUUACAGGACUCCUCCGCUCCCCCCUGCCGAGGGACAAGAUCCUUUUGUCCACAAAGAAGACAUCGUACCGAGUCCUCCGGACAACUGAGUGCUUUUCCCAGACGCAAGACAAGACCGAGUGAUACGGUAGUGGCCAUGCUGUUCGCUCUCUCUCCUAAAAUUAAUAAUUAGAGAAGAUUGUCAGGUACGCUCAAUUUAUUUACUUUAGUCUCAUUUUUAAUCAGAAAUAAUUAAUUGUUUUAAUCAUGAAUUGAUGCUGUGCUCUUGCUAAAAUUGCUUAAUAAAACGCUCUAUUGCAUUUAAAGAGAAGCCUAAUGAAAUUAUUAUAAACCACUGAAAAUCUGCAUAGUGGUAAAAAGUUAAGUUGAUUGUGUGCAUUCAAUCCAAUGGUUCUUAAAGGUUACUUAGUCCAAAGUGAGAUUGUUUAAACAUUACCCCUGAGGUUAGUUCUUUCCAAACCUCUAAAACGAACCCAGGAAUAGCACCAAGUGCAGGCAAGUCCUUAAGAGAGAAGCUGACCGAUAACGAAUGUGAAUGAUAGAUCAAUUCUACUACUAAAAAGGCUGCUU